GAGCUUAGGUUUUGGUCUCGCAUUUGAAAACUGCAGACGUUAACGCUAGACCGCCAGACGGAAGGUGAGAAUUAGA